AAUCCAUAGGUUAAUGAGGCGAACCGGGGGAACUGAAACAUCUAAGUACCCCGAGGAAAAGAAAUCAACCGAGAUUCCCCCAGUAGCGGCGAGCGAACGGGGAGGAGCCCAGAGCCUGAAUCAGCAUGUGUGUUAGUGGAAGCGUCUGGAAAGGCGCGCGAUACAGGGUGACAGCCCCGUACACAAAAGCGCAUGUGCUGUGAGCUCGAUGAGUAGGGCGGGACACGUGGUAUCCUGUCUGAAUAUGGGGGGACCAUCCUCCAAGGCUAAAUACUCCUGACUGACCGAUAGUGAACCAGUACCGUGAGGGAAAGGCGAAAAGAACCCCGGCGAGGGGAGUGAAAAAGAACCUGAAACCGUGUACGUACAAGCAGUGGGAGCACAGGUUUACCUGUGUGACUGCGUACCUUUUGUAUAAUGGGUCAGCGACUUAUAUUCUGUAGCAAGGUUAACCGAAUAGGGGAGCCGGAGGGAAACCGAGUCUUAACCGGGCGUUAAGUUGCAGGGUAUAGACCCGAAACCCGGUGAUCUAGCCAUGGGCAGGUUGAAGGUUGGGUAACACUAACUGGAGGACCGAACCGACUAAUGUUGAAAAAUUAGCGGAUGACCUGUGGCUGGGGGUGAAAGGCCAAUCAAACCGGGAGAUAGCUGGUUCUCCCCGAAAGCUAUUUAGGUAGCGCCUCGUGAAUUCAUCUCCGGGGGUAGAGCACUGUUUCGGCUAGGGGGCCAUCCCGGCUUACCAACCCGAUGCAAACUGCGAAUACCGGAGAAUGUUAUCACGGGAGACACACGGCGGGUGCUAACGUCCGUCGUGAAGAGGGAAACAACCCAGACCGCCAGCUAAGGUCCCAAAGUCAUGGUUAAGUGGGAAACGAUGUGGGAAGGCCCAGACAGCCAGGAUGUUGGCUUAGAAGCAGCCAUCAUUUAAAGAAAGCGUAAUAGCUCACUGGUCGAGUCGGCCUGCGCGGAAGAUGUAACGGGGCUAAACCAUGCACCGAAGCUGCGGCAGCGACGCUUAUGCGUUGUUGGGUAGGGGAGCGUUCUGUAAGCCUGUGAAGGUGUGUCGUGAGGCAUGCUGGAGGUAUCAGAAGUGCGAAUGCUGACAUAAGUAACGAUAAAGCGGGUGAAAAGCCCGCUCGCCGGAAGACCAAGGGUUCCUGUCCAACGUUAAUCGGGGCAGGGUGAGUCGACCCCUAAGGCGAGGCCGAAAGGCGUAGUCGAUGGGAAACGGGUUAAUAUUCCCGUACUUGGUGUUACUGCGAAGGGGGGACGGAGAAGGCUAUGUUGGCCGGGCGACGGUUGUCCCGGUUUAAGCGUGUAGGUGUGUGUUCCAGGUAAAUCCGGUUCACUUUAACACUGAGGCGUGAUGACGAGGCACUACGGUGCUGAAGUAACAAAUGCCCUGCUUCCAGGAAAAGCCUCUAAGCAUCAGGUAACAUCAAAUCGUACCCCAAACCGACACAGGUGGUCAGGUAGAGAAUACCAAGGCGCUUGAGAGAACUCGGGUGAAGGAACUAGGCAAAAUGGUGCCGUAACUUCGGGAGAAGGCACGCUGACACGUAGGUGAAGUGAUUUACUCACGGAGCUGAAGUCAGUCGAAGAUACCAGCUGGCUGCAACUGUUUAUUAAAAACACAGCACUGUGCAAACACGAAAGUGGACGUAUACGGUGUGACGCCUGCCCGGUGCCGGAAGGUUAAUUGAUGGGGUCAGCGCAAGCGAAGCUCCUGAUCGAAGCCCCGGUAAACGGCGGCCGUAACUAUAACGGUCCUAAGGUAGCGAAAUUCCUUGUCGGGUAAGUUCCGACCUGCACGAAUGGCGUAAUGAUGGCCAGGCUGUCUCCACCCGAGACUCAGUGAAAUUGAACUCGCUGUGAAGAUGCAGUGUACCCGCGGCAAGACGGAAAGACCCCGUGAACCUUUACUAUAGCUUGACACUGAACAUUGAGCCUUGAUGUGUAGGAUAGGUGGGAGGCUUUGAAGUGUGGACGCCAGUCUGCAUGGAGCCGACCUUGAAAUACCACCCUUUAAUGUUUGAUGUUCUAACGUGGACCCGUUA
rnacentral:rRNA from 1 species